rnacentral:rRNA from 1 species
AAUAGAUACCCGGGUAGUCCACGCCGUAAACGAUGAGUGCUAAGUGUUAGAGGGUUUCCGCCCUUUAGUGCUGAAGUUAACGCAUUAAGCACUCCGCCUGGGGAGUACGGCCGCAAGGCUGAAACUCAAAGGAAUUGACGGGGGCCCGCACAAGCGGUGGAGCAUGUGGUUUAAUUCGAAGCAACGCGAAGAACCUUACCAGGUCUUGACAUCCUCUGACAACCCUAGAGAUAGGGCUUCUCCUUCGGGAGCAGAGUGACAGGUGGUGCAUGGUUGUCGUCAGCUCGUGUCGUGAGAUGUUGGGUUAAGUCCCGCAACGAGCGCAACCCUUGAUCUUAGUUGCCAUCAUUCAGUUGGGCACUCUAAGGUGACUGCCGGUGACAAACCGGAGGAAGGUGGGGAUGACGUCAAAUCAUCAUGCCCCUUAUGACCUGGGCUACACACGUGCUACAAUGGACGGUACAAAGAGCUGCAAGACCGCGAGGUGGAGCUAAUCUCAUAAAACCGUUCUCAGUUCGGAUUGUAGG